UUUACAAUUAUACAUAUUAUACCAUAAAAAAUUUCAAUUGGAGCUUGGAGGAGUAGAUCGUCAAAAAUUUAGGUUAAAUUUUGGAGGAGUAGAUUCGGUUGUAAAGUAGUUUUUUUUAGUAAUUAUUAACAAUUAUCUGAUAAAUGAGAUGACAUGUCAUUUUUAUCAAUAUAUGUCAUAUGACAGGUCAUUUUUUACUAAAUAUAUGGGAUGACAUGUCCUUUUUUUAAAAAAGACUAGAUUACCCUUAUGAUGUCAGCACUUGCAAAUGACAGUUAACAUAUUGGUGGAUGGUAAAAGUGUUUUGUUAACUUAGGGUAUACGAGUGAUACACUUGAAAAGUGUUGUAGAACGUUUGAUACUGGUGUUAUUUAAGGGUAUAUGGCUGAUAAGUUUCCUUUAAUAACAUAGAAAAAUUUGAAAUAAUUCUAGUUAUUGAUUCAAUACUCGACAAAAACUUAACUCACAUUGAAUAUUAUAGAAGCCUAUAGGCCUAACUCAAUCAAAAGCUAGCUUAAUAGUUGGGGAUUGUUCAAGUCUUGUAUACUUAACCAUACUCGGUUGAUGUAGAAUAUUUUUCCUAGCACCAAUAUCAUGUGCAGGUCGGUCUUUUUUAUGGGUCCUUACCAUGUGGUAAGGUAAUGUGGGUUCGCUCUUACAUAAGUUUAUCUCUGAUAUCAUAUAACAGUUAACGAGUCUAACUCAACCCAAAAAUUAACUCAAAAAUCGAGGGUUAUCCAAGUCAUAUAUACUUAACUCAAGUUCAAUAUUCAGUCAUAUAUACUUAACUCAAGUUCAAUAUUCAGUCAUAUAUACUUAACUCAAGUUCAAUAUUCAGUUGAUGAAAGAUAUUUUUCCUAAUAGAUCUUAAUACUAAAGAAAGAUCAUUUUUAAAUGCCAACUUAUCAACAAAAAUGUUUGUGCACCUAGUACUAGAAAAUGAUUAAUAAAGCUAAGCAUUAAUCACACAUCAAGAAAAACAUUAAUAAUUUGUUGAUAUUUGCACUCAAUGGACCUGCGCCACCUGAUCAAGUGUUUUCAAAAUGUUUUCUUUUACUAAUCACCAAAGUUCGAAAGUAGGAUUAAAAAAUCAAUAUGGAUUUACCACUCCUAUCUUAAAAAUAAAUAAUGAGUAAAACUUUAUUGAUACUCCUGUUGGGAAAAUAUGCUAUUUAAAAGCAUAUGUGUUUAUUUAAUUGUAAUAAACAAUUUUUCUGAUUAAUAAAAUAAAUGAGGUAUUUUAUUCAAAUAUCUUAAUUGCAUUAAUAUUUUUAUUAAAGUCCAUUUAAUCAUAUUAUAUGUAUUUAUGUGAUCACCAUGUGGAUUCACAGAAGACAUAAAUACAAGUUAUCUUAUGAUUAAAUAAAUUUAGUUCGCAGUUGAUAAAUAAAGUUGGGUACUUUAUUUAGGUAUAGACUGUAAUAAAUUCAUUGAAUGAUUUGUCUUAAUCAUGUAUGAAUUAUUGAUGUAGUACGACUACACUGAACAGGAUCACAUAUGAGAUUUAAUUAACUUUAUAAUAACUAUCAGACUUAUUAAAUCUCAUAGGCAUUGAUUUUACUGUAAUCUUAAUCUUGAGUUAAUUAUGAUUUUAUGAUUGUAAUUGUUAUUCCAUUUGAGUUAUCAAUAGGCAUGACACAUACUUGUAGUCUAGAUUACCCGGUAUCUUGGUGGGAGCAUUUAUAAGUAUUGGAGUUAUAGAUUAAUAAUAUAGAAUUUGUACAACACAUCUCUUGAUGGGUUUUCGGUACUUGAUCAUAGAAUUCUCUGGUCAGAGUGUGUCAACAUAUUUAGUAUGUUAAAAAUAAUCAUUAGAGAAAACCAGUAAGUAUCAUUGAAUAAGAUGUAAUUAAAUCCAUUGAACAACUGAGAUGUCGAUUUAAUUAACGGUGUGGUACAAAUGAUUAUGCAGUAAAGAAAUCAAUGUGGCUUGGGAUGAAUUAUUAUUCGAGCAUACAAUUAUGGAGGUCAGUUCCAAUCUUUUAGUGGAGUAGAUUUGGAAUUAAAUAAUGGGAAAUUAUCAUUUGUAUACCCUUAGUUUACUCCAUUAUCAAAAAUACUACAACACUUUGAGGGUAUAUCAAUCGUCCACCCUAAGUUGACAAAAUGUAUUAGCUGACCACCAAACCAUUAGUUGCCGUUUAAGUAUGAUGACGUCAGAAGGGUAAUUUGGUCUUUUCAUAUGAUACAAGUGAUAAUUUAAGGGUAUAAAAGUGAUAAAAAGAGAAUUUAAGGGUAUACAAGUGAUAAUUUUCAAGGGUAAAAUCAUCAAUUCACUGUAACUCUAUUAACUUUCAAACGGCAACUAACGGUUUGGUGGUCGGCUGAUACAUUUUGUUAACUAAGGGUGGACGAUUGAUACACCCUCAAAGUGUUGUAGUAUUUUUUAUAAUAGAGCAAAUAUAGGGUAUAUGAAUGAUAAUUUCCCUUAAAUAAUUGGGCUAGUUUAAUUGCAAGCCUAAUUAUUAUAGCCAUUAUUGUAUGUUCCCAAAUGAUCCUCGGGUUAGCUCAUUUAAUUGACUGCACUACUACUGAAUUAAUAAGCAAG
rnacentral:lncRNA from 1 species